UAUAUAUGUCAUAUUAUGGUAAAAUAAUUAAAUAGGCAUUAUAUAUUUUCUUUAAUAAUAAUUGUUUAAUAUUCUAUUGAUUUUUUAGUUUUUCUUGCGUUUUUCCAGGUUUUUCCGUGUUUUUUCCCAGAUUAUCAUAUUUGCUUAGAAAAUUCUUAGAAAAAUCGAAAAAUCACUUCCCAAAAGUACCUUCCCAGUGAGAUUUACUUUCAGAAAAAGUGCUAUCAUUGUAAAUCGGAGCAAAAUUGCUGGUAGAAAAGUUGUACAGAGUAAAAAAAAAGCCAUAAUAUUGUUUUACUAAUACCUACAUUUCGUAAAUUUUCCUUUUUCCGACAUUUUAUCCAGGUUUUUCUUAGUUAUUAUGAUAACCAAUUUAAAACUCACAAAAAUGACGUCCCUAAACCAUGGAGAUAAAAUUUCCUUUCAGAAAAUAAGCUACAUUUGAUACAUGAGAGCAAGAUUUCUGGUAGAAAAGUUUGCAAAACAAAUUGAGGGGUAUUUUUCGAUUAUAAUUGUCUGAGCGAGCAAUAGCUUU